GUGCCAGCCGCCGCGGUAAUACGGAGGGUGCAAGCGUUAUCCGGAUUCAUUGGGUUUAAAGGGUGCGCAGGCGGAUUAUUAAGUUAGUGGUGAAAUCCCGGGGCUCAACCUCGGAACUGCCAUUAAUACUGGUAAUCUGGAAUACGGUUGAAGUGGGCGGAAUGUAGCAUGUAGCGGUGAAAUGCAUAGAGAUGCUACAGAACACCGAUCGCGAAGGCAGCUCACUAAGCCGAUAUUGACGCUCAGGCACGAAAGCGUGGGGAGCGAGCAGGAUUAGAUACCCUGGUAGUCCACGCCGUAAACGAUGAUAACUCGUUGUUGGCGACACACAGUCAGCGACUAAGCGAAAGCGAUAAGUUAUCCACCUGGGGAGUACGAUCGCAAGGUUGAAACUUAAAGGAAUUGACGG
rnacentral:rRNA from 1 species